GGUUUCCGCCCCUUAGUGCUGCAGCUAACGCAUUAAGCACUCCGCCUGGGGAGUACGGUCGCAAGACUGAAACUCAAAGGAAUUGACGGGGGCCCGCACAAGCGGUGGAGCAUGUGGUUUAAUUCGAAGCAACGCGAAGAACCUUACCAGGUCUUGACAUCCUCUGACAACCCUAGAGAUAGGGCUUUUACNUUCGGGGGACAAAGUGACAGGUGGNGCAUGGUUGUCNUCAGCUCGUGUCGUGAGAUGUUGGGUUAAGUCCCGCAACGANCGCAACCCUUGAUCUUAGUUNCCAGCAUUCAGNUGGGCNCUUUAAGGUGACNGCCGGUGACAAACCGGAGGAAGGUGGGGAUGACGUCAAAUCAUCAUNCCCCUUAUNACCUGGGCUACACACGUGCUACAAUGGUCAUAACAAAGGGNUGCGAGACCGCAAGGUUUANCCAAUCCCACAAAUCUGUUCUCAGUUCGGAUCGCAGUCUGCAAUCUNGAAUGCGUGAAGCUGGAAUCGCUAGUAAUCGNGGAUCAGCAUGCCGCGGNGAAUAGCGUUCCCGGGCCUUGUAUCAGCAUCCGCCCGUCAUCAC
rnacentral:rRNA from 1 species